UACGUAGGGUGCAAGCGUUAAUCGGAAUUACUGGGCGUAAAGCGUGCGCAGGCGGUUCGCUAAGACAAAUGUGAAAUCCCCGGGCUUAACCUGGGAACUGCAUUUGUGACUGGCGGGCUAGAGUAUGGCAGAGGGGGGUAGAAUUCCACGUGUAGCAGUGAAAUGCGUAGAGAUGUGGAGGAACACCGAUGGCGAAGGCAGCCCCCUGGGUCAAGACUGACGCUCAUGCACGAAAGCGUGGGGAGCAAACAGG
rnacentral:rRNA from 1 species